UAUUCACGGCCGCGGUAUUCUACCGUGCAAAGGUAGCGUAAUCACUUGUCUUCUAAAUAAAGACUAGUAUGAAAGGCACCACGAAGGCUAAGCUGUCUCCUCUCUCCAAUCAGUGAACCUAAUCUCCCCGUGAAGAAGCGGGGAUCCUACUAUAAGACGAGAAGACCCUAUGGAGCUUAAAACAUCAUAACACUUGCAUUCUGAUUAUAUGUUUUUGGUUGGGGUGACCGCGGAGAAAAAAUCAUCCUCCACAGUAAGAAGCAAUAAGUUACAACUUUAUGCAUCAAAAUUUGACAUUUAUUGACCCAACAAAUUGAUUAACGAACCAAGUUACCCUAGGGAUAACAGCACAAUCCACUUUGAGAGCUCAUAUCGACAAGUGGGCUUAUGACCUCGAUGUUGGAUCGGG
rnacentral:rRNA from 1 species